GCUAUUGUUUGGCUCCAUGCAGAAUGCAGGCAGGAUCUGGAAUGUUGAUCAAGUCUGAGGAUAAAGCAACAAAGAAAAUGGACAGCAGUUUAAAUGCCAUAGCUCAAAUAAUUGUCAGUGAAAUGCUCUAUGUCUUAGACCUUCUGCCACAUGUCUUGGAUGCCACAUGCAAUGCGCUGCAAUGA
rnacentral:lncRNA from 1 species